rnacentral:antisense_RNA from 1 species
CUUCACCGAGCCGAGCAGCAGUGGUUCGUCCCGGUCCCGGCCGUACGUUGCCAGCAACGCGCGCGCCUC